rnacentral:sRNA from 1 species
GCUGGGUGUGGUGGCGCACACCUGUAAUCUCAGCUACUUGGGAGGCUGAGGCAGGAGAAUCACUUGAACCCGGGAGGCAGAGGUUGCAGUGAGCCGAGUCGGUGCCACUGCACACCAGCCCGGGUGACAGAGUGAGACUCCAUCUCAA